CACUAGGGCUGGCCCCGCUUCUCGGGGAGUCCUGGAGCGCUCAGGAGUCCGAGCCAGAGCCAGACACAAUCCACCCAGAGCCUCCUGAAGUUGUUAAAAGAGAACAGGGGCCAUAGACUCGGUUCUAGUGGAAGUUUCCCUCUGAACAUAAGGAAGCAGCAGAGAUCUUAAACUGAGCGCUACAGAGGCAUGUCGGAGGGGAAGAGGCAUGAGGUUGCACUAGUGGGCUUUUGCUAGCUAUCUAAUUGAGGCACUUGAGGGGAGGUGUCCCUAAUGAAAGGUAAUUGCUGCACUGAUUGCAAUAGGAGAUUUGACUUUCUCCAGGUUGAGGGAGGGGGAUUACAACACAAAUCAAAUGAACGAGACAUUUAUAUACACAGAGCCGAAUUUGUCUAGGGAACAGUGUAAAUGCAACAGGCAUGACUCCAGUUUUCAUCUCAGUACCAACAGGACUCCCAAUUAGAUAGUGAAUAUUGAUGACAGCGAGAGCUUCAGAAUCCAGUGUAGAAGUGGCUGGUUUUAAAAGCAGAACUCUCACACAGGAAGGUUUAGUGUGCUUUAAAUUAACACCAUCAACGUGUAUUAUUCAUAAUUGCUAGUAAUAAAAUAUCUUGAUUGUGAUAGAGCAUUCUGUAAAUAAUAUGCCCUGAUUUAACAAAAAAUCAAUUAAAUAUUAUAAAGAGGGCUUCCGCUUCUUUGCAGCUGCUGCUGUCUUUUCAGCAAGGGAGAAAGUGGCUAUAGGGAAAUAGUGAAAUUGACAAUCCAGAGACAGCUAUUGAAUGCACAAAGAAAGUUUAUGGCUAUCUAUCUAUCAAGUGUCUCAACUUUCAGUUCCAGUAAUUGUAGGUAUUAUUUACAACUACAGUAGAUAGCACAUUUCAAAACCGAAAUGAGAGUUUGGCGCUGAUGUGUCCCUUUAAAUUUAAACUGGGACAAAGGGGCUCACAACAGUAACAUAGGACCCUGCCUCAUUCAGUGUGCAGGCUGGAUAGAAAGUGAGGCAUUGUUGUGUAGUGAAUGAGGAUGGGGCAUGGAGCAUGCUGGCAUGUUGGUGCACAGGGGCAAGAUGGUGCAGCCUGCUCCCUGCAAUGCAGCAGGCCCAGUCAACAGUCCAGAGCAGGGCAGGGAGCCUGCAGGACCAUGAGCUUGCAUACUUCCCACCACACCUUUCAGCAUAAUGCAGAAUGCCUGCCACACACCUCUGUGCAACAUGAUCAAUUCCAUAGUCACAAACACCAAUUAUUUGCUGUCAGGAUGCUUUUCUUGUAUGCAGUCAAGCUGUGCAAGAUGAACAAUGGAGCAGAGAACAAGAUGAAAUGGUGGCUGGAUGAAAGGUGAAGGCAUCCCGCCUCCCCACACACACAUUUUAGGUUCUAUUUCUGGAAUCAUAAUCCUUGUAAUGCUACUGGCACCUUGGGGAAAACUUGUCAGAAUCAGAAGUGAUUGAACUGCAAGUGCUGAUGGCUGCAUUACCAAUACCCUCUUUAAUUGCUUGGUGUUAUUGGGCCGCGAUCCCUGGACACCACAAUAAAUGAAACUAGAAUGGUGUGCACACAACAAGAACAAGUGGGAAACAAAACAGAGGAGGGAGUCAUUUGGGGUAACCACAGACAGGAGAAUUUUACAUUCAUUGCCCUGUGGCAAUUUUUUUCUCGACACUUCCUUUGAGAUGGGACUGGAGCUGAUUCCAUGACAAAGAAAGCAGUGGAGCCAGGCAAGUUCUCAUUUUAAAAAGUAGGAGGGUUGCAGGAAAGGGAGUCCAUGGGAAAAUCUGAAAAAAAAAAUUAGGUUUUAAAUUUUGUUUUCAUCCUAUAUUGGAACAAAACCUUGAGAACUUUUGAUGUUUUCAUGGGGAGCAGGGGAAAGAGGGCAAGACCUCAGAACACCCAAUAGCCUAGUGAAUCAGGCAGAGCAGGAACUAGAAUGUAGGUAUCCCACAUCCCAGGUGUGUGCUCUGACCAUCAGGAUAGACAGUCAAUCUCUCUCUGGCCCAACAACUAUUUAAUUAUUCAUACAAAGUAGAACAAGCUCCUACCCAGGAGAUUGAGGCUGAUUGAGAUUCAAGUCCCUGCACCAAAUCAGGCAGAGCACAAACUUUUGAACAUGGGUCUCCUCCUUCUUAGGCAAGUGCUCAAAGCACUGGGCUAUUGACUAUUCUAGAGUGGAGUGCUCGCUCCACCCCAAGAACCUUCUCAAUGAAAGUCUACUCAAAACCAAUAUGGACUUUCUCACAAAAAAGUAGUGUUGAAGAAUUCCCAACCAGCUCUAUUCAGGAGACUUCAGGGAGCUGUAGCACCCUUAGCUUUGAAUUUCCUGACUCCCAAGGAUUUCAGCCAGUUCCUUAAUGCUAACUUCUUGUAUAUUUUUGUUUGAGUCUAUAUCGCUAUAUACAUAUUAUGUGUGUACUUGUAUUAUGUAUAUAUGAAAUGCAUGCAUAUUUCAGAAACACCAUGAGCCCAAUUUUCAAACAACAGUGUCUUAUCGAGAUAUCAAAAUGUCACAAAUGACUAUACACUUAAGUGUCCAUUUAGAGUCUUAUGCAAAACUUUCAUUGACUGCAAUGGGCUUAAAGCACCUAACAGCAGAUUUAAAAUGCCACACAUGAGAUUUUGAUGCCUUGAUUAUUGAAGACCCACGUUUGAGAAGCAGGCCAGGUGUAGGAAUCUGUUUAUCUAUUCAA